rnacentral:rRNA from 1 species
AGUGAACGCUGGCGGUAGGCCUAACACAUGCAAGUCGAACGGCAGCACAGUAAGAGCUUGCUCUUACGGGUGGCGAGUGGCGGACGGGUGAGGAAUACAUCGGAAUCUACUUUUUCGUGGGGGAUAACGUAGGGAAACUUACGCUAAUACCGCAUACGACCUACGGGUGAAAGCAGGGGAUCUUCGGACCUUGCGCGAUUGAAUGAGCCGAUGUCGGAUUAGCUAGUUGGCGGGGUAAAGGCCCACCAAGGCGACGAUCCGUAGCUGGUCUGAGAGGAUGAUCAGCCACACUGGAACUGAGACACGGUCCAGACUCCUACGGGAGGCAGCAGUGGGGAAUAUUGGACAAUGGGCGCAAGCCUGAUCCAGCCAUACCGCGUGGGCGAAGAAGGCCUUCGGGUUGUAAAGCCCUUUUGUUGGGAAAGAAAGGCAGCAGGUUAAUACCCCGCUGUUCUGACGGUACCCAAAGAAUAAGCACCGGCUAACUUCGU